rnacentral:rRNA from 1 species
UACGGAGGGUGCAAACGUUGCUCGGAAUCAUUGGGCGUAAAGCGCACGUAGGCGGUCUUUUAAGUCGGAUGUGAAAGCCCCAGGCUCAACCUGGGAAGUGCAUCGGAAACUGAAAGGCUAGAGUACGGAAGAGGGUCUCGGAAUUCCCGGUGUAGAGGUGAAAUUCGUAGAUAUCGAGAGGAACACCUGCGGCGAAGGCGGGUUGCUGGGCCGACACUGACGCUGAUGCGCGAAAGCCAGGGGAGCGAACGGG